rnacentral:lncRNA from 10 species
GCCGUCGACCCCACGCCACGCAGAGGUGAAGAUACGCAGGACGUCCUCUAAAGCAACUUCCGUGGGUGCCAGGUUGUGGGCUGGGGGCGGUGCUGACCUUGAGAGAGCGGAGGAGGCGCAGGCGCAGCACAGUUUAAACUUGAUUUUGUGAGGGGACGAACAGCGUGACAAUUAAAAGAAGAUCUGGGAAUCAUCCAAUGUGAUAAUUUAUGUGAAAUCUUUCUGCAAACUAUACAGUAUGAUAAAAAUAUAAGGUAGUUUCACUGGAAACAACAGAAGACUAGAAGCUGAUGUGACGUGGCAAUAUCAACCAGGAAUACCCAUCUCGAGUUCUGGAUAUGUGCUCUGAGAAGGUGCCCAUGUCACCGACCACACUGGAGGCCAAUGCAGAUACUGGGGGAAGGUUCCAUGGUAGCUAAGUGUGGACAAGCUAAUCACUGAAGUUCCCUGAUGCAGAGUUGAUAAUCUCUCUAGAGUUGGAUGAAAGACUGUGCUGCCUUGAAGCUCUGAGAGAUGCCAUGCCAAUUCAAGGCAGGGUCUUUAUUGUUGAAACUCUUGCGUAAUGACAUCUUUAUUCAGGUGAAAAUACAGGAUGAAUUUCAACUAUAUGAUAUUGUUUAUGUUCCUCAGACAUGUUAUUUGUCUUUACAAAGAUUGGUUUCAAUAAACUGUGUGACUGAUAUUAAAUAAACAUGGAAUUUUACACAUUCAUAAUAUUUGGUUUCUUGUGAUUUUGAUGAACUAUACUUUCAAGCAUUGUCAGUUCAUCCUCAUUUACAAGGAAACAUUUGCUGUAGCAGAGUGAUGUAGUGACUUGCUUUACUUAAGAUAAGUCAACUUUUCUAUUCAAUGUUUAAUGUGAAACUGACUUAAAAAUUUUCUUUUAGGCCACAUUUACAUUUCUGUUUGUAUAACAUGCAUUAUACUAUUUUAACUUAAUACUAUGGCUAUAUAAACCAAAGACAUCCUAAUUCUGUUUUUAAUUUAUUGUUUUGCAAGAUAAAUAAUUUUUAAUGCACUAAUGAAGCUAAGGAGUUCAUAUUAAAAGACAUGUUAUAUGACCUACUGAAGUUGAGCUAUG